AGUAGAAUUGCUGGGACAUAUGGUAAAUAUGUGUAACUUUUUAAGAAUCUGACAAACUGUUUUCCAAAGUGGUUGUACCAAUUUACAACCCUACCAGUAAU
rnacentral:pre_miRNA from 1 species